UACGAAGGCCCCGAGCGUUAUCCGGAUUUAUUGGGCGUAAAGCGUUAAAAGGUGGCUUGGUAAGUAUCUCGUCAAAUUCUGGGGCUCAACCCCAGAGCUGCGGGGUAAACUGCCUGGCUCGAGGGCGGAAGAGGCAAGCGGAACUACCGGUGUAGUGGUAAAAUGCGUUCAUAUCGGUAGGAACACCAAUGGCGAAGGCAGCUCGCUGGGACGUGACUGACGCUGAGACGCGAAAGCGUGGGGAGCAAACAGG
rnacentral:rRNA from 1 species